rnacentral:rRNA from 1 species
CCUACGGGUGGCAGCAGUGAGGAAUAUUGGUCAAUGGACGGAAGUCUGAACCAGCCAUGCCGCGUGCAGGAAGACGGCUCUAUGAGUUGUAAACUGCUUUUGCACAAGGGUAAACCUGAAUACGUGUAUUCAGCUGAAAGUACUGUACGAAUAAGGAUCGGCUAACCCCUUGCCAGCAGACGCGGUAAUACGGGGGAACCAGGCGUUUGCCGGAUUUAUUGGGUUUAUAGGGUACGUAGGCGGGUUGGUAAGGUAGAGGUUAAAUGUCCGGGCUUAACUCGGGAACUGCCACUAAUACUGUUGAUCUAGAGAGUAGAUGCGGUAUGCGGAAUGUAUGGUGUAGCGGUGAAAUGCUUAGAGAUCAUGCAGAACACCGAUUGCGAAGGCAGCUUGCCAGUCUAUAUCUGACGUUGAGGCACGAAAGCGUGGGGAGCAAACAGGAUUAGAUACCCUAGUAGUC